AAGAGUUUGAUCAUGGCUCAGGAUGAACGCUAGCGACAGGCUUAACACAUGCAAGUCGAGGGGCAGCGGGGGAGUAGCAAUACUCCCGCCGGCGACCGGCGCACGGGUGAGUAACACGUAUGAAACCUGCCCGUAGCAGGGGGAUAAGCGGAAGAAAUUCCGUCUAAUACCGCGUAACAACCCUUGGAGGCAUCUCCUCGGGUUUAAAGGGAGCGAUUCCGGCUACGGAUGGUCAUGCGUCGCAUUAGCUUGUUGGCGGGGUAACGGCCCACCAAGGCGACGAUGCGUAGGGGUUCUGAGAGGAAGGUCCCCCCACACUGGUACUGAGACACGGACCAGACUCCUACGGGAGGCAGCAGUGAGGAAUAUUGGUCAAUGGCCGCAGGGCUGAACCAGCCAAGUCGCGUGAGGGAUG
rnacentral:rRNA from 1 species